UCUUCCUCGCCUAACCUUUUCGCUUCUUGUUUCAGUACUCCGUGGAUCAGUCGGUCGCUGACAAGCUGAAGGAGAUUUGUUGCGGCUGAGGCAGGCAAAGAGACAGACAGUUGCUCCCCAAAUGUUUGCUGUUAUUCCCAAGAGGGUAAUAGUACUGAACGACUUAAUUACUUUUGAUGCUUUUAAUUGGUGCAAACAUGUGCAUGGCAAUCGUAGUAUUUUAGUAGUUAUUCAAGAAGAGAAACUUGUCACCAUCAAGGCUUUUGUAGCAUAAAACUUUUCAUUCAUAUCUUGUCUUUUUCAUAUAGAGAUAAUAAUGUGUGAUGUUUUCAAGCUAGUGGCAUGUUUUGAGACCGAGGAACUUGUUCUCUCCUGAGCUUGGGGCUCUAAUUUCCAAGUUGGACUAUGAAUCUUCGCAUUUCAUUAUAUUGGCUAAAAUAAUAAUUUUCAAAUUAACAAAAGCAUUAUGAGGUCAUAAAGUUGAUACUCUUAUGACAUCCAUGAUGAACAAGGAAUUACUAACAUAAAAGUAUUAUUUAGAUAGUUGAUUUUUCUGCAGUAAAUUAAUUUAUUGAGGUAAUACUUCAAUUUUUUUUCAUGCAUCAAACACAUUCCUAUGUUAUUAUGCUCAAUCAAUAUACAAAGUAAAUAUGUCAUAUCUAAUUUAUUUAGAUUAAAAGGUGGAUUAUUAUUGGUG
rnacentral:lncRNA from 1 species